AAUGAUUUCAUACACAUUAGCAAUUAGAACGAAGCACACAAUUCUUCAAUCUACUUUGCUUUCUUGAUGAGAGUUGUUGUCCUGAAUUCACUGUCACCCGCACAAAGCUCCACCACAAGUAGGUCAGAGGAAUGGUGGUGGCAUGCCAUAGAGCAUGGGCAUCCACAAAUCCCCUAUAGGGAGGAAAGUCAUAUAUCUCAAGGAGUGCAGCAAGAGCUCCACCAAUCACCACCACCCACAAUUUCCAGCGUGAUGGAUGGCGAGUAGCCCCU